rnacentral:sRNA from 2 species
UCUAUCAAGAACAUCUAAUCCCUCAUCUUGAUACACUCACAUCUCUGCCAGAAUUAAUCUUUAGUUAUUUAACCAGUUAUCGUCAGCAACACAAAAUGGGGCGAUAUCAAAAUAUUCAGGAGGUUAUCAACAUGUAUAACGGAUUGGCAACAAAAUUCGACGCUGUGUAUCAUGACCACCAAUCCGACAUCUCUAUAUUCGCCAAAUUCGCUGCUCCACAGCUUAAUGAGAAUUGUUUGGAUCUCGGUACAGGAUCUGGUCGGCUUUUGAUAGAGAUGAAGAAACACAUUGAAGAUGGAACUUGUGGAGGAAUUGAUGUGGCGGAACAGCUUCUAGAGAUUGAUGCCAAAUACAACAUCACAGCAGCAGGUUUCAUACCUCUGAACAACAAAAAAUCUGAACAGCG